GGGGGGCCCUAGGAGACUGGGCCUAACUCCAGGUUCCUGGGGUCAUAUCGGAGCCUGUGAACUCCCCCCUGAGCCCCGUGUGUGUGUGGGGGGGGAAGCCGGGCCUCGAUGGGCAGCAGGGGGAGCCCAGACCCCUGAACCCAGUCCUUUGCUCACUCGGGUAAACUGAGGCAGGAACUCUCACCCCGUCUCCCUCAGCCUGUCCCCCUGGCUUCCACGGUCGUGGCUGCCAGGGGGUGUGCAGGUGCCAGCAUGGAGCCCCCUGCCACCCCGUCAGCGGCCAGUGUCUGUGUCCCGCUGGCUUCCACGGCCAGUCCUGCGAGAAGGGGUGUGAGCUGGGCUCAUUCGGAGAGGCCUGCGGUCAGCGGUGCGACUGUGAGGGUGGGGCCACCUGCGACCCUGUCACCGGCCACUGUCUUUGCCCCCCAGGCCGCACGGGGGCCACCUGUGACCUCGACUGCAGAGCCGGCUGCUCCGGGCCGGGCU